AACGAACGCUGGCGGCAUGCCUAACACAUGCAAGUCGAACGAGACCUUCGGGUCUAGUGGCGCACGGGUGCGUAACGCGUGGGAACCUGCCCUUAGGUUCGGAAUAACUCCCCGAAAGGGGUGCUAAUGCCGGAUAAUGUCUUCGGACCAAAGAUUUAUCGCCUUUGGAUGGGCCCGCGUUGGAUUAGCUAGUUGGUAGGGUAAAAGCCUACCAAGGCGACGAUCCAUAGCUGGUCUGAGAGGAUGAUCAGCCACACUGGGACUGAGACACGGCCCAGACUCCUACGGGAGGCAGCAGUGGGGAAUAUUGGACAAUGGGCGAAAGCCUGAUCCAGCAAUGCCGCGUGAGUGAUGAAGGCCUUAGGGUUGUAAAGCUCUUUUACCCGGGAUGAUAAUGACAGUACCGGGAGAAUAAGCACCGGCUAACUCCGUG
rnacentral:rRNA from 1 species